rnacentral:lncRNA from 13 species
AUGAAACUGACAACACGCCCAGUGCUAAGCGAGAACAAUGUGGUCGUUAUACUCACGCAGCUGCCCCCUCUCUUAGCUCUCUGGAUCCAGAGGGGCUGGACAUUGGACCUACCAGGACACAGCCUGGCACCAAUACAAUUAAGGAGUGCAGACUUGUGGGUACCCAAGGCUGGUGAAGAGGCCAACCAUCAAAACUAUGAGAGAGAAGGCAGAAGGCAACAACACUGGGACAUACCCUAAAGAAGUUUUCAGACAUGGUCACCACGAAUAAUUUGCCAUGAAGAAGAAUGUUCACUGCAGCACUACUUGAAAAGCGUAAGAGACAGAAACAGCUUAACUAUCCAUUGAUAAGAAAAUGGAUAAAUAAAUUGUGGUCUUGGUGGCCA